rfam:Micromonospora aurantiaca ATCC 27029, complete genome.
GGUCACGAGCGCCAGCGUCAAGCCCCGGCUUGCUGGCCGGCAACCCUCGUCGAGGUUCGCGGUGGGGUGCCCCGGGUGAUGACCGGGCCCGGUGCCGCUCCGCGCGCCGGGCAAGCGCGGACC